GUGGGGAAUAUUGGACAAUGGGCGCAAGCCUGAUCCAGCCAUGCCGCGUGAGUGAUGAAGGCCCUAGGGUUGUAAAGCUCUUUCACCGGUGAAGAUAAUGACGGUAACCGGAGAAGAAGCCCCGGCUAACUUCGUGCCAGCAGCCGCGGUAAUACGAAGGGGGCUAGCGUUGUUCGGAAUUACUGGGCGUAAAGCGCACGUAGGCGGGUAUUUAAGUCAGGGGUGAAAUCCCGGAGCUCAACUCCGGAACUGCCUUUGAUACUGGGUACCUAGAGUAUGGAAGAGGUAAGUGGAAUUCCGAGUGUAGAGGUGAAAUUCGUAGAUAUUCGGAGGAACACCAGUGGCGAAGGCGGCUUACUGGUCCAUUACUGACGCUGAGGUGCGAAAGCGUGGGGAGCAAACAGGAUUAGAUACCCGGGUAGUCC
rnacentral:rRNA from 1 species